CUUGCCAAGACGGUGAACUAGCAUGUAUGCAAUUUUUACAAAUUUCUCCUGAAAGUUAAGUGUGUAUGAGUGUGUUUGUGAAGGAUUUGCAUCGUUUUUUUUUCUUUCCUGGUGUAAAAUCCUGUAAAUGUUAAACUUGUAAAUAGUUAAAUAUAAAAUACUUGCGUUCGCUGAUUAUUUAAUUGGAUAUGAAUUGAAUAUAUUUGGCAACUUUAGAAGAUACGCACGUGAUCGGUGGGGGAGGGGAGCAACGGUUAGCGUCUGAUACCAGAGAAAAGCAUCAUCAGUCUCUGUGAAUAAAACGGAUAUUAUCUCAAAUAUAAUCUCGAUUACAGAUUGCAGAUAACGAGGAUAUGAAGAACACGAAGAUGGACUGGAUUCGCAUGCAGAUGUUGCAGCAUCUGCAUCUGAUGUUGAGAAGACACUCAAUCUACCUGCCAAUCCUCAUCUGAUUUUGCUGGGUUAGUGUGUCAUUGCACAUGAUGAAGAAGAAACAUUUACUGAUGGCUGAGAUAUAAAAUUGUUAACAUUGCUGUUGUGCACAAUUGUUAAAAUUGCUUCUUCUUUUUUUCUUUUUUUUUUGUGAGUGUCUAGUCAACAUUUUUGACUGCAGUUGCAAGUGUUUGCUGUGCACUACAUCUUCAAUCUGCAGUAUCAAGAGGAGGCCUGUUGCACGUUAGAGUUUUUUCAAAGUUUUUUCAGUUCAUCAUCUGAAACACUGUCAAAUGUGGUUUUAUUCGCAUGCCAGACACGGAGAAAAUAGGAGAAAGGCAUGUAGAUCCACAUUAAAUCCAAACGAGUCAGAAUAUAUAUAUAGAUCGUUUGCAAAUGAUUUAUAAGUGCUUUAUUACUUUAUACUUAUUAUAAAGUUUUACAAAAUUAAUCUAAAUUCUAAACCAAAUUAAUUAAUCAGAAUUUUGAAAAAUGGUUAUUAUACA